AGAUCAUCCUUCUUACUUGGAUAACUGUGGAAAAGCUAGAGCUAAUACAUGCUACAAGCUCUGACCUUACGGAAGGAGCGCAUUUAUUAGAACAAAACCAAUCGGACUUUGUCCGUCAUUUGGUGAAUCUGAAUAACUAUGCAGAUCGCACGGUCUUAGAACCGGCGACAUAUCUUUCAAAUGUCUGCCUUAUCAACUUUCGAUGGUAGUUUAUGCGCCUACCAUGGUUGUAACGGGUAACGAAGAAUCAGGGUUUGAUUUCGGAGAGGGAGCCUGAGAAACGGCUACCACAUCCAAGGAAGGCAGCAGGCACGCAAAUUACCCACUCCCGGCACGGGGAGGUAGUGACGAAACAUAACGAGGCGAUUCUCUACGAGACUCGCCAUCGGAAUGGGUACAAUCUAAAUCCUUUAACGAGGAUCUAUUGGAGGGCAAGUCUGGUGCCAGCAGCCGCGGUAAUUCCAGCUCCAAUAGCGUAUAUUAACGUUGUUGCGUUUAAAAAGCUCGUAGUUGGAUCUGCGACCUAGGAUAGCGGUCUGCCAAACGGUGUGUACUGCUCUUUCUGGUCUUGUUGUCCGGUUUUCCCUUGAUGCUCUUUGUUGAGUGUCCUGGGUGGCUGGAGAGUUUACUUUGAAAAAAUUAGAGUGCUCAAAGCAGGCGGUCUGCCUGAAUAAUGGUGCAUGGAAUAAUGGAAUAGGACCUCGGUUCUAUUUUGUUGGUUUUCGGAGCACGAGGUAAUGAUUAAAAGGGACAGACGGGGGCAUUCGUAUUGUGGCGCUAGAGGUGAAAUUCUUGGACCGCCGCAAGACGAACUACUGCGAAAGCAUUUGCCAAGAAUGUUUUCAUUAAUCAAGAACGAAAGUUAGAGGUUCGAAGGCGAUCAGAUACCGCCCUAGUUCUAACCGUAAACGAUGCCAUCUAGCGAUCCGCAGGAGUUAAAUUUAUGACUCUGCGGGAAGCUUCCGGGAAACCAAAGUUUUUGGGUUCCGGGGGAAGUAUGGUUGCAAAGCUGAAACUUAAAGGAAUUGACGGAAGGGCACCACCAGGAGUGGAGCCUGCGGCUUAAUUUGACUCAACGCGGGGAAACUCACCCGGCCCGGACACCGUAAGGAUUGACAGACUGAUAGCUCUUUCUUGAUUCGGUGGAUGGUGGUGCAUGGCCGUUCUUAGUUGGUGGAGCGAUUUGUCUGGUUAAUUCCGAUAACGAACGAGACUCUAUCCUACUAACUAGACAGCGAAUUUGGCUGUUCGUUGCGCUUCUUAGAGGGACAAGGGGUUUCUAACCCCACGAAAGUGAGCAAUAACAGGUCUGUGAUGCCCUUAGAUGUCCGGGGCCGCACGCGCGCUACAAUGAAGGAAUCAACGUGUAUCAAAACCUGCUUUGGAAAGACUGGGUAACCAGUUCAAAUUCCUUCGCGCUUGGGACAGGGACUUGCAACUAUUUCCCUUGAACGAGGAAUUCCUCGUAAGUGUGAGUCAUCAUCUCGCGUUGAAUAUGUCCCUGCCCUUUGUACACACCGCCCGUCGCUACUACCGACUGGAUGAUUUAGUGAGGUCUUCGGACUGGUACCGAUGCGGCUUCGCGGUUGCAUUGGUGUCCGGAAAGAAAACUC
rnacentral:rRNA from 1 species